rnacentral:tRNA from 1 species
GGGAAUUAGCUCAGUUGGCUAGAGCACCUGCCUUGCACGCAGGGGGUCGCGGGUUCAAGUCCCACAUU